rnacentral:rRNA from 1 species
UACGAGGGGGGCGAGCGUUAUUCGGAAUCACUGGGCGUAAAGCGUGCGUAGGCGGUUAUGAAAGUUAGGAGUGAAAGCCCAGGGCUCAACCUUGGAAUUGCUUUUAAUACUACAUGACUCGAGUUCGGGAGAGGAUAGCGGAAUUGUCAGUGUAGCAGUGAAAUGCGUAGAUAUUGACAGGAACACCAGUGGCGUAAGCGGCUAUCUGGACCGACAUUGACGCUGAGGCACGAAAGCGUGGGGAUCAAACAGG